rnacentral:rRNA from 1 species
UUCCCCUAGUAACUGCGAGUGAAGCGGGAAAAGCUCAAAUUUGAAAUCUGGCAGUUCUUUUGACUGUCCGAGUUGUAAUCUAGAGAAGUGUUACCUGUGCUGGACCAUGUACAAGUCUUCUGGAAUGGGGCAUCAUAGAGGGUGAGAAUCCCGUCUUUGACAUGGACUACCAGUGCACUGUGGUGCGCUCUCAAAGAGUCGAGUUGUUUGGGAAUGCAGCUCAAAAUGGGUGGUAAAUGCCAUCUAAAGCUAAAUAUUGGCGAGAGACCGAUAGCGAACAAGUACCGUGAGGGAAGAUGAAAAGAACUUUGGAAAGAGAGUUAAACAGUACGUGAAAUUGCUGAAAGGGAAACGCUUGAAGUCAGUCACGUUGGCUAGAAAUCAGCCUUGCUUUUGCUUGGUGUACUUUCUGGUUUGACGGGUCAGCAUCGAUUCUUUGACAUGGGAAAAGUCUUUGGGAAUGUGGCAUCUUUGGAUGUGUAUAGCCCAUUGUCGCAUACGAUGGUUGGGAUCGAGGAACUCAGCACGCGCAGGGCCGGUUUAUACCACGUUCGUGCUUAGGAUGCUGGCAUAAUGGCUUUAAUCGACCCGUCUUGAAACACGGACCAAGGAGUCUAACAUGCCUGCAAGUGUUUGGGUGGAAAACCCAUGCGCGCAAUGAAAGUGAAAGUUGAGAUCCCCUGUAAUAGGGGAGCAUUGACGCCCGGACCAGACCUUCUGUGACGGAUCCGCGGUAGAGCAUGUAUGUUGGGACCCGAAAGAUGGUGAACUAUGCCUGAAUAGGGUGAAGCCAGAGGAAACUCUGGUGGAGGCUCGUAGCGAUUCUGACGUGCAAAUCGAUCGUCAAAUUUGGGUAUAGGGGCGAAAGACU